GACGAACGCUGGCGGCGUGCUUAACACAUGCAAGUCGAACGGAAAGGCCUGCUUUCCCUUGUGGAUUGCGGGUACUCGAGUGGCGAACGGGUGAGUAACACGUGAGUGAUCUGCCCCCAACUUGGGUAUAAGCCUGGGAAACUGGGUCUAAUUCCCGAUAGGACUGCAGGGUAGUGCCUGUGGUGGAAAACGAUUUUCUAGUGGUUGGGGAUGAGCUCGCGGCCUAUCAGCUUGUUGGUGGGGUAAUGGCCUACCAAGGCGGCGACGGGUAGCCGGCCUGAGAGGGUGGACGGCCACAUUGGGACUGAGAUACGGCCCAGACUCCUACGGGAGGCAGCAGUGGGGAAUAUUGCACAAUGGGCGGAAGCCUGAUGCAGCGACGCCGCGUGGGGGAUGACGGCCUUCGGGUUGUAAACUCCUUUCGACCGCGAGGAAGCCACCUGGUUGGAAGGGUGGUGACGGUAGUGGUAGAAGAAGCACCGGCUAACUACGUG
rnacentral:rRNA from 1 species